rnacentral:rRNA from 1 species
GUCUUCAGUUGCCAGCACGUAAAGGUGGGAACUCUGAAGAUACUGCCCCGGUUAACGGGGAGGGAAGGUGGGGAUGACGUCAAGUCCUCAUGGCCCUUAUGCCCAGGGCUACACACGUGCUACAAUGGCAUAUACAAAGGGUCGCGAUACCGCGAGGUGGAGCCAAUCCCAUAAAGUAUGCCACAGUUCGGAUUGGAGUCUGCAACUCGACUCCAUGAAGUUGGAAUCGCUAGUAAUCGCAGAUCAGCAUGCUGCGGUGAAUACGUUCCCGGGCCUU